AUGCACGCUGGCGGCGUGCCUAAUACAUGCAAGUCGAGCGAACGGACGAGAAGCUUGCUUCUCUGAUGUUAGCGGCGGACGGGUGAGUAACACGUGGAUAACCUACCUAUAAGACUGGGAUAACUUCGGGAAACCGGAGCUAAUACCGGAUAAUAUUUUGAACCGCAUGGUUCAAAAGUAAAAGACGGUCUUGCUGUCACUUAUAGAUGGAUCCGCGCUGCAUUAGCUAGUUGGUAAGGUAACGGCUUACCAAGGCAACGAUGCAUAGCCGACCUGAGAGGGUGAUCGGCCACACUGGAACUGAGACACGGUCCAGACUACUACGGGAGGCAGCAGUAGGGAAUCUUCCGCAAUGGGCGAAAGCCUGACGGAGCAACGCCGCGUGAGUGAUGAAGGUCUUCGGAUCGUAAAACUCUGUUAUUAGGGAAGAACAUAUGUGUAAGUAACUGUGCACAUCUUGACGGUACCUAAUCAGAAAGCCACGGCUAACUACGUG
rnacentral:rRNA from 1 species